rnacentral:lncRNA from 10 species
AUUGGAGAAUGUGUGGCCCACAAAGCUUGACUAUCUGGCCCUAUACAGAAGAAGUUUGCUGAUCUCUGACUUAGUUAACAGCUAAGGAAUUUGGGGGCGUAUUUAAGGCCAUAUUGGAAAGGUACAUAUGUUAAUUAUUCCCUCCAUACAAAAAUGACUUUGAUAUUCAGAUUUUAAUAAUUAUCAGAUAGCUAUAAUAUGUGGAGUGAUGGGAAGUAACAUUUUGGACAGAUUGCAGUUAGGAAACAGACCCUGGUCAGAAGGUCUUAGACAAAAAUCUUAGCAUCAAGCUCAGAUUAUUCCUUCCUGCUUCAUUUGUGUUCUCCUCACAAUGCUUUCAGCUGCCUAGGAAUAGCCAGGCAACCAGCUGCUACUUUGAGCACCCGGCUAAAAUAAGCAGAGACAACUGGAAGGCUUGAUGUGAAAAAGAGCUGUUGAAGUGUACACAAGCAAGCUGACUGCCUUAUGACUAAUACUUGACAGAACCCAGCAAGAGGAUAUGAGAUUGCAGAUGGAUGACCUCAAUCCUGAACAGAAAGGCGUGCAUGAUAAUGGAGAGAAAAAAGCCAAUGGGGAAAAAAAACCCACCACUAUUUUUUUAAUAGCCUAACACACACACAAAAAACUGGUUUUCCUUUUUCUGUAAUGUGUCUGUAGAGCUGGCUAUUCUGAUUAAAGUUGCCCUUGAAAAAGCAAUUAACUUAAGAGUCUUACUGGAAGUUAAAAAUCCCAAGGGGCAGGAAAAAUGAGUGUAUGGGAAGCCCAGUCAACAGGUCAGAAGGUACAGCUGGGAGGUUUUAGCAUUACGUACCGUGUGUUUUUCGUUUAAGGGAGAAGCUUAUUUGCUCACUGCUAUAGUUUGGAUGUUUG